CAAUACUUUGGACAACUACUCCUGUUCAUUGAAGCCCCAGUGUCCACUCCUGAUCUGACCACUAAGUGUCUGACUGAUGGAGAGAUGAGGGUGUCCUGCUCCUCUAAGGGGGAUUUUGUCCAGUUUAACUGGACUCUGAUUGGAGAUCCACUGCUAGACACUGAGAGGACUGUUGGUAAUGAGACAAACACCAUAACUCUGAAGAAAGGCUGGUCUGGAAUCCUCACCUGUCAUGUCAGGAACCACGUCAGCAACGCUAACCACAGCAUAAAGAUAUCACAUUGUCCUGGGCUUAGAUUGGCUAACUGCAUCUUAAAUGGGACAAAUAUAUUGGAGUGGGUAAAUGAC